CCGGCGCACGGGUGAGUAACACGUAUCCAACCUGCCGUCUACUCUUGGCCAGCCUUCUGAAAGGAAGAUUAAUCCAGGAUGGGAUCAUGAGUUCACAUAUCCGCAUGAUUAAAGGUAUUUUCCGGUAGACGAUGGGGAUGCGUUCCAUUAGAUAGUAGGCGGGGUAACGGCCCACCUAGUCAACGAUGGAUAGGGGUUCUGAGAGGAAGGUCCCCCACAUUGGAACUGAGACACGGUCCAA
rnacentral:rRNA from 1 species